GUGGGUUCGGUUAUCUGGAUCCGUGUCGAAGCUGACGCGUUAAGUGAUCCGCCUGGGGACUACGGUCGCAAGAUUAAAACUCAAAGGAAUUGACGGGGGUCCGCACAAGCGGUGGAACAUGUGGUUUAAUUCGACACUACGCGAGGAACCUUACCUAGGCUUGACAUGUGGGUGACCGCUGUAGAAAUACAGUUUUCCAAGUUUACUUGGACAGUUACACAGGUGCUGCAUGGCUGUCGUCAGCUCGUGUCGUGAGAUGUUGGGUUAAGUCCUUUAACGAGCGCAACCCUUGCCGUCAGUUGCUACUCUUUUAUUAGAGGCACUCUGGCGGGACUGCCUAGGAAACUAGGAGGAAGGUGGGGAUGACGUCAAGUCCUCAUGGCCCUUAUGCCUAGGGCAACACACGUGUUACAAUGGCUAGUACAAAGGGCAGCGAACCCGCGAGGGGGAGCUAAUCUCAUAAAGCUAGUCUAAGUUCGGAUUGGAGUCUGCAACCCGACUCCAUGAAGUUGAAAUCGCUAGUAAUCGCGUAUCAGAACGACGCGGUGAAUACGUUCUCGGACCUUGUACACACCGCCCGUCACACCACGAAAAUCGUCUACACCCGAAAUUAUUUUAGCUAACCCGUAAGGGAGGCGGAUAAUGAAGGUGAGGAGGGUAAUUGGGGUGAAGUCGUAACAAGGUAGCCG
rnacentral:rRNA from 1 species